rnacentral:rRNA from 1 species
AUGGCGGUCGUGGGCGAGGAGUACUGCGACCUCAAGGAGCGGCUGCUCACGGUGCGCAAGACCUCCCACUUCUCCCCCGGCGACGGCUUCGCGGCCUACGACAACCGCACCGGCGGCCUCGCCUUCCGCGCCGACACCUACGGCCGCGGCCACGGCGGGGGCGCCGCCUCCCCGGGCGAGCUCGCGCUGCUCGGCCCCGCCGGCGAGCCCCUCCUCACCGUGCGCCGCCGCCGCCCGUCCCUGCACCAGCGCUGGGAGGGCUUCCUCGGCGCCCGCGCCGACGGCCAGAAGUCCCUCUUCUCCGCCCGGAGGUCCUCCAUUCUCGGCGGCGCCGGGCGCGGCGCCGUCGUCGAGCUCCUCCCUUCCCCCGCCUCCGCGGCCGCCGCCGAGCUCCGCGUCGAGGGCUCCUUCGGACGGCGCUGCUGCCGCGUGGUGGCCAAGGGCGACGACGGGGAGGAGACGGUGGUGGCGGAGAUCAGGAGGAAGGUGGACGAGGCGGCGCGGGUGGUGAUGGGCAGGGACGUGUUCGUGCUGCGGGUGGGCGCCGGCUUCGACGCGGCCUUCGCCAUGGGGAUCGUCCUCGUGCUCGAUCAGAUCGCCGGGGACGAGGCCGACGGCGGCGACGCCGGACAGGAUGCCGUCCACGCCAAGAUAUGGUGA